CCUUCGAUAGCUCAGUUGGUAGAGCGGUGGACUGUAGUUGGCUUAUUUAAAAUCACGGACAUCCAUAGGUCGCUGGUUCAAAUCCGGCUCGAAGGA